rnacentral:rRNA from 1 species
AUUGAACGCUGGCGGCAGGCCUAACACAUGCAAGUCGAACGAGUGGCGGACGGGUGAGUAAUGUAUGGGAAACUGCCUGAUGGAGGGGGAUAAAUACUGGAAACGGUAGCUAAUACCACAUACCUACAGAUUUGCACAGAUGGGAUUAGCUUGUUGGUGGGGUAACGGCUCACAAAGGCGACGAUCCCUAGCGGGUCUUCGAGGAUGAACAGCCCCACUGGAACUGAGACACGGUCCAGACUCCUACGGGAGGCAGCAGUGGUGAAUAUUGCACAAUGGGCGCAAGCCAGAUGCAGCCAUGCCGCGAGUAUGAAGAAGGCCUUCGGGUUGUAAAGUACUUUCAGCGGGGAGGCGUUACCCGCAGAAGAAGCACCGGCUAACUCCGUGCCAGCCGCCGCGGUAAUUC